GACGAACGCUGGCGGCGUGCUUAACACAUGCCAGUCGAACGGAAAGGCCCCUUUGGGGGUACUCGAGUGGCGAACGGGUGAGUAACACGUGAGUAACCUGCCCUUGACUUCGGGAUAACUUCAGGAAACUGGGGCUAAUACCGGAUAGGAAUCCUUGCUGCAUGGUGGGGGUUGGAAAGCUUCGGCGGUUUUGGAUGGACUCGCGGCUUAUCAGCUUGUUGGUGGGGUAGUGGCUUACCAAGGCUUUGACGGGUAGCCGGCCUGAGAGGGCGACCGGCCACAUUGGGACUGAGAUACGGCCCAGACUCCUACGGGAGGCAGCAGUGGGGAAUAUUGCACAAUGGGCGGAAGCCUGAUGCAGCAACGCCGCGGGCGGGAUGACGGCCUUCGGGUUGGAAACCGCUUUCAGCAGGGGCGAAGCUUGUGGUGACGGUACCUGCAGAAGAAGCACCGGCUAACUACGUG
rnacentral:rRNA from 1 species